GGGGAGGAGCUCCGGCUCAACUACCCCCGAAACCGCCUGCGGACAGAUACGUUAGUCCAAGGGUAAAUACGUUAACCCUCCUCGGGUGACAACUCCGGAGUGCACUACCUGUGUGGAGCUACCACACCAGGCGCAGACAGGCAAUGUGAGCUCGGUCCAAUCUCAUAAACUGUAAACAUCCUACCAACUAGGAUGAUCUCAU
rnacentral:lncRNA from 1 species